CUACGGGGCGCUGCAGUGAGGGAUAUUGCGCAAUGGGGGAAACCCUGACGCAGCGACGCCGCGUGGAUGAUCAAGGCCUUCGGGUCGUAAAAUCCUGUCAGAAGGAAAGAAGUGUAUGGUAGCUAAUAUCUGCCAUACUUGACGGUACCUUCAAAGGAAGCACCGGCUAACUCCGUGCCAGCAGCCGCGGUAAUACGGAGGGUGCAAGCGUUGUUCGGAAUUACUGGGCGUAAAGCGCGCGUAGGCGGUUUUGUAAGUCAGAUGUGAAAGUCAACGGCUCAACCAUGGAAGUGCAUUUGAAACUGUAAGACUUGAGUAUUGGAGGGGGUAGUGGAAUUCCCGGUGUAGAGGUGAAAUUCGUAGAUAUCGGGAGGAAUACCGGUGGCGAAGGCGACUAUCUGGCCAAAUACUGACGCUGAGGUGCGAAAGCGUGGGGAGCAAACAGGAUUAGAUACCCUAGUAGUC
rnacentral:rRNA from 1 species